UUUUAAACUUAAAUUGUAAUUCUAAAUUAGUAAAAGUUAUGUUCUCUAAAAUUAAAAAAUUUGGCGGUAUUUUAGUCUAUUCAGAGGAACCUGUUCUAUAAUUGAUAAUCCACGAUUUAUUGUACUUAUUUUAGUAGUUUAUAUAUCGUCGUAGUUUGAAUGUUUUAUAAGAAUUUUAAAUGUUCAAGAUUUAAUAUAAUAAAAUAAAUCAGAUCAAGGUGUAGCUUAUAAAUAAGAAGAAAUGGGUUACAAUUAAUUUAUUAUUGGAUAAAUUUAUUAAAUUGAAUUUUGAAAAUGGAUUUGAAAGUAAUUUAAUAUAAUUUUUUUAAAUGAUUUAAGCUCUAAAAUAUGC
rnacentral:rRNA from 1 species